AUAGUCACCGAACAACAGCAAAAGGGCGAAAGCCAAUAUGAAAAUUUAAUGGCAUCCCGAGAUUAGCACUCAUAUGGAAACGUCCAUCUCCGUGAAUGCUAUUAUUAGGGUUGGUUCAAAUCACAAUCCGUAUGGGGUGGCUGGUCGACGCUGAUAAAAGCAGAAACUCAUUCGGUGCGGUGUAACCCCGAAGUUUAUUUAGCGGCUUACCUCGGCGCUGACUGGAAUUGUUGAAUCUGUUUUUCUUUCAUUUCUAUCCCGAAUGUUUCGAUACCCUUUGGAAUACAAUAAGAAUCGAACA